UUUUUUUUUUUUUGGUUCGGAUAGUUGUUCUAAGAAAUAUUUUUACUUCUUGUGAUUUUACUUCCGGGAAUUUCGGGAGAAUACCGCACUGCGCGCCAUUGUACGAGAAACCGUAAGGGCCUUGUCACACUAUGGCAGAUUAACAACGCGGGAUUACCACGUUAAUGUCACAUUACAACGGCACGACCGCACGAUCUUUGACUUGCGUAUUAUUGUUGCUUUACAAAAUUAACAUUAGUGUCCAACGCUGCAUCAAAAUAUGUUGAGCUGGUCAAGAACGGAGAAGUCCAACGGGACACCGGAAUUUUCUCGUCGGGUCGUCUACUUUUUUUGACAAAAUAACUCGUGGUUGUGAUCUGGGUCACAAAGGUUAAAUUCCUCCCGUGUCUGGGCCCAGGUAUUUUCUCUCCGUCGUAUUAUUUUGUUUUCAUCGCGUCUAAUGUCUGUUUUCAUCCUGACGACUUU